rnacentral:rRNA from 1 species
AUUGAACGCUGGCGGCAGGCCUAACACAUGCAAGUCGAGCGGAUGAAGGGAGCUUGCUCCUGGAUUCAGCGGCGGACGGGUGAGUAAUGCCUAGGAAUCUGCCUGGUAGUGGGGGAUAACGUCCGGAAACGGGCGCUAAUACCGCAUCCGUCCUGAGGGAGAAAGUGGGGGAUCUUCGGACCUCACGCUAUCAGAUGAUCCUAGGUCGGAUUAGCUAGUUGGUGGGGUAAAGGCCUACCAAGGCGACGAUCCGUAACUGGUCUGAGAGGAUGAUCAGUCACACUGGAACUGAGACACGGUCCAGACUCCUACGGGAGGCAGCAGUGGGGAAUAUUGGACAAAGGGCGAAAGCCUGAUCCAGCCAUGCCGCGUGUGUGAAGAAGGUCUUCGGAUUGUAAAGCACUUUAAGUUGGGAGGAAGGGCAGUAAGUUAAUACCUUGCUGUUUUGACGUUACCAACAGAAUAAGCACCGGCUAACUUCGUG